rnacentral:rRNA from 1 species
AGUGAACGCUGGCGGCAGGCCUAAUACAUGCAAGUCGAACGGCAGCACAGCAGAGCUUGCUCUGUGGGUGGCGAGUGGCGGACGGGUGAGGAAUACAUGGGAAUCUGCCCAGUCGUGGGGGAUAACGUAUGGAAACGUACGCUAAUACCGCAUGCGCCCUAAGGGGGAAAGCCGGGGACCGCAAGGCCUGGCGCGAUUGGAUGAGCCCAUGUUCGAUUGGCUAGUUGGCGGGGUAAAGGCCCACCAAGGCGACGAUCGAUAGCUGGUCUGAGAGGAUGAUCAGCCACACUGGAACUGAGACACGGUCCAGACUCCUACGGGAGGCAGCAGUAGGGAAUAUUGGACAAUGGGGGCAACCCUGAUCCAGCCAUGCCGCGUGAGUGAAGAAGGCCCUCGGGUUGUAAAGCUCUUUUGUCCGGAAAGAAAAGCAAUCGGUUAAUACCCGGUUGUCCUGACGGUACCGGAAGAAUAAGCACCGGCUAACUUCGUGCCAGC